rnacentral:tmRNA from 1 species
GGGGCUGAUUCUGGAUUCGACGGGAUUAGCGAAGCCCAAGGUGCACGUCGCAAACGACGAACAAUACGCUUUAGCAGCUUAAUAACCUGCUCAUCGCCUUCUCUCCCUAGCUUCCGCUCGUAAGACAGGGAUCAAGAGGAGUCAAACCCAAACGAGAUCGCGUGGAUGCCGCCGCCUGAGGAUCGAAACGCUAAAUUGAAUCAAGCUAGUUUAUCUAUCGCGUGUCUAUCCGCAGUGGGUAAAUGAAAUUAAAGAUUAGACUAAACGUGUAGUACUGAAGGUAGAGUAAUUUCGGACGCGGGUUCAACUCCCGCCAGCUCCACCA